rnacentral:tRNA from 1 species
GCCUGGGUGGCUCAGCCGGUUGAGCGUCUGACUUCAGCUCAGGUCAUGAUCUCACAGUUUGUGAGUUCGAGCCCCACAUCGGGCU